rnacentral:rRNA from 1 species
AGAGUUUGAUCAUGGCUCAGGACGAACGCUGGCGGCGUGCCUAACACAUGCAAGUCGAGCGAGGAAGAGGAGAUAGCUUGCUAACUCCUGUUUCUAGCGGCGGACGGGUGAGUAACGCGUGAGCAACCUGCCUUUAUCAGGGGGAUAACGCAUCGAAAGAUGUGCUAAUACCGCGUAAGACCACAGCCUCACAUGGGGCAGGGGUCAAAGGAGCAAUCCGGAUAAAGAUGGGCUCGCGUCCGAUUAGCUAGUUGGUGAGAUAACAGCCCACCAAGGCGACGAUCGGUAGCCGACCUGAGAGGGUGAUCGGCCACAUUGGAACUGAGAGACGGUCCAGACUCCGUACGGGAGCA